ACUCCGGUAGGUGAGGCUACUACAGGGAUAUGGACUGCUGCCGCAACAGGAUGGAGACAUCCCGCGCCGGUUUGAACAGGUUGUAUCGACUAAGGUACAACAUAACGCAGUUACACCGCCCUCUAGAGCCAAAGCUCGUACGGCG
rnacentral:sRNA from 1 species